rnacentral:rRNA from 1 species
UACGUAGGUGGCAAGCGUUGUCCGGAUUUACUGGGCGUAAAGGAUGCGUAGGUGGAUAUUUAAGUGGGAUGUGAAAUACCCGGGCUUAACCUGGGUGCUGCAUUCCAAACUGGGUAUCUAGAGUGCAGGAGAGGUAAGUGGAAUUCCUAGUGUAGCGGUGAAAUGCGUAGAGAUUAGGAAGAACACCAGUGGCGAAGGCGACUUACUGGACUGUAACUGACACUGAGGCAUGAAAGCGUGGGGAGCAAACAGG